rnacentral:piRNA from 1 species
CAGGUUGGAGAGGGGAGUAGUGU